UUACUACAGCAAAGUUUCAUGUCAAUGCGGAAGGGUUUGUGUGAUUCAGCAAAUCGUGCUGGCAAACACACAAAAGCGACAACCCUGCCUUCUUCCUGUAGUUAUGUUGUAUUAGUAGGCGACCCAUGAAAAUGCACACUAAGCAGGGUGGUUGGUAGGGACUGAUGCAGAAAUAAUAACACUGCCUCUGAAGACCAGAAUAGGCAUCAGAACAACAAAAUGUUGACUUCAAGUGAAGAUUGAAAGUUGAAGGCCUCAUUCCAAGGCCUGGUCUCUCUUUCAGUUGACAUCCAGAGAAGACUACAUGAGAAAGGUUACCUUUGUUGUGCACCACAUUUAGAA